UAUUUUCAUGUAAUAAUGUUCAAACAGUUGAAGAGGAAAAUUAGGUGUAAAAGUCGUCAAUGUAGAAAAGAAUGGAGUAGAUGGGCCACAAUGAAUGUAAAUCCAAAAUAUAUGAGCAUCACCCAUUGAACAUUAAACAUACAUUCUACUAGCUUGCUUAUUGAACGGUGGAUUGUUGUUUAAGAAAAUAAGACAAAAGAGCAAAGCAGGAGCAAUGAAAAUCCCUUGCAAUAUAAUAUUAGCCUCAAUGGAAGUGCAGAAGUAGCAC